rnacentral:rRNA from 1 species
UAGGGAAUCUUCCACAAUGGACGAAAGUCUGAUGGAGCAACGCCGCGUGAGUGAAGAAGGGUUUCGGCUCGUAAAACUCUGUUGUUAAAGAAGAACAUAUCUGAGAGUAACUGUUCAGGUAUUGACGGUAUUUAACCAGAAAGCCACGGCGAACUACGUGCCAG